rnacentral:rRNA from 1 species
UACGUAGGGACCGAGCGUUGUCCGGAUUCAUUGGGCGUAAAGAGCUCGUAGGCGGCUGUUCAAGUCGAACGUGAAAACUCGGAGCUCAACUCCGAGCCUGCGUUCGAGACUGGAUGGCUAGAGUCUGGUAGGGGGAUCUGGAAUUCCUGGUGUAGCGGUGGAAUGCGCAGAUAUCAGGAGGAACACCGGUGGCGAAGGCGGGAUCCUGGGCCAGUACUGACGCUGAGGAGCGAAAGCGUGGGGAGCGAACAGG